UACGUAGGGUGCAAGCGUUGUCCGGAAUUAUUGGGCGUAAAGAGCUCGUAGGCGGUCUGUCGCGUCGGUUGUGAAAACCCAAGGCUCAACCUUGGGCCUGCAAUCGAUACGGGCAGACUAGAGUACUGCAGGGGAGACUGGAAUUCCUGGUGUAGCGGUGGAAUGCGCAGAUAUCAGGAGGAACACCGGUGGCGAAGGCGGGUCUCUGGGCCGAUACUGACGCUGAGGAGCGAAAGCGUGGGGAGCGAACAGG
rnacentral:rRNA from 1 species